UUUUUUUUUCUUUUUUGUUUUUUUGAGACAGUCUUGCUCUGUCAUCCAGGCUGGAGCGCAGCGGCACAAUCUUGACUCACUGCAACCUCUGCCUCCUUGGUUCAAGCAAGUCUCCUGCUUCAGCCUCCUGAGUAGCUGAGAUUACAGGUGUGUGCCACCAGACCUGGCUAAUUUUUGUAUUUUUAGUAGAGACAGGGCUUCACCAUGUUGGCCAGGCUGGUCUUGAACUCCCAACCUCAAGUGAUCCGCCCACCUUGGCCUCCCAAAGUGCUGGGAUUACAGGCAUGAACCACUGUGCCUGGCUGGGAGUUUUAGUCUUUUAAGCAACAUUUAUAAAUGAAGAAAUUAGGGAUGGCAGCAAGUGUAAGGGGAAUGUCGGUUGCCUCUGGACACUGGUUCCUCUGCGUUUCAGUUUUAAAAAGCUGGCACUAAAACGUGUCAGAGCUCACACAGGAGUGUUUGGAGCCGUGUUUCCCAUUGUCCUGGCAGAGCCGGGGCCCUCCAAGGUGCCCAGCUCUUACUGCACGGGGACCAACAGGCUGGCCGGCAAGAGCUGAUGGGGUUGGUGUUUCUGUUUGUUGCCAACCCCAUUUACCGGAAGUGUCCCCACACCAUUUUCCAUAAGCUGUGAAACAAAUGUCGUAAGAUCUCUAACUCAGAAGGGGAAAGAAACCUGGGUCUUUGUUUCCUUGGUUUUGUGUUACGUAUGCCCGGGUGGAACGUGGAUUUGUGUUACGUAUGCCCGGGUGUAACGUGGAUUUGUGUUACGUAUGCCUGGGUGGAACGUGGAUUUGUGUUACGUAUGCCCGGGUGUAACGUGGAUUGGAAGAUGUGGAACCCAGAGGUAGAGUGGUUUGGAUAAGAACUCUGAAACGUUCCUUGUGGAUCCCCUUUUCUGGCCAUCGGGUUGUGGAUGUGUAUUUGUUAAACUUCUCACACGCUGCGUCCUUCAGCCUGGAGACCCUGCGGAAACAGGAGAGGCGACGCCGCGGUAGGGGACGCCAUGGUGGUUAUGUAGCUAAGCUCCCUCUGACGGGCCCUGAGGCUGCCGCCAUAGAGCAGCAGAACCGUGCAGUUCCUGGAGGAGAAGCGGGUUUUGAUUGCGAAAUAUUCCAGUAUCCGGAGUGAACACUAAAGGAGGAGCUGUGGCUACUUGAUGAUAAGAGAGCUGUGAAGUCCUGGGUUUGGGAAAUCCUGUUUUCGUGGAACAGGAUGGGAUGGAAGCCUAAACCCCGCAUUGCUUUCUAGCCCCUGAAUUAACAGAGCCCUAGGAAGACAAUCCCCUGGUAACAGGAAGUCAAGGAGAAAGAGGGAGCCCUGAGGCUGGGAGGAGCUCACCAGACACUGGCUGCCGGGGCAUUGGCAGCUGAAUGGAGGCGGCGCUGCAGGCGCUGGGCGAGCUGCAUCCCUGCAGGAGGAAGCCGGUCUUGAGUCCUGGCUCACACCACAGACAGCUUCAGGGCAUGAUGGAAGUUUCCAGAAGUAACAGCAGAGCUAGAUCUAUGAGGAAAGAUUUCUCAGGAAAAAGCCCUCCCCACGCAGAGAGGACGGUGGGUUGGGCCUCGUGGUGUCCAUCAGGAGGGCAGGAUGGCAGUGGGACACCUUGCAUGAAAGGCGGCCCAGAAAGGACUGGGCAAGGCAGCUGGACAGCUCAGUGGGGAUUCCAGAAAGAGACACCUCCGGGCUGCAGGCAUGCACCCACGGACGCACACGCCAUGCACGACGCACUCCACGGACGACGCGACGCGACGCGACGCGACGCCCCUGCACGCACGCACCCACGGACGCACGCACCCACGACGCACGAGGCGCCAGCACCACACACGCCACACACGCUGGCACUGCUGAACACGUGAAAUAUACAAGAUGGUCCUUCUUAUGGUUCAGGACGUGGAAAGUUGAAACCGUAGCAAGAAGCAUGGCCUAUCCACCGCAGUGACUAAAAGAUAAAGAGGAAAAGGACAAACACUGGCCAGAAGGUGCAGCCGCUGGAGUGUUCGAGCCUUAACUGGAAGAGGAGCU
ensembl:lncRNA